rnacentral:rRNA from 1 species
GAUGAACGCUGGCGGCGUGCUUAACACAUGCAAGUCGAACGAUGAAGCCCAGCUUGCUGGGUGGAUUAGUGGCGAACGGGUGAGUAACACGUGAGUAACCUGCCCUUGACUCUGGGAUAAGCCUGGGAAACUGGGUCUAAUACUGGAUAUGACUUCUCAUUGCAUGGUGGGGGGUGGAAAGAUUUAUUGGUCUUGGAUGGACUCGCGGCCUAUCAGCUUGUUUGUGAGGUAAUGGCUCACCAAGGCGACGACGGGUAGGAUGCCUGAGAGGGUGACCGGCCACACUGGGACUGAGACACGGCCCAGACUCCUACGGGAGGCAGCAGUGGGGAAUAUUGCACAAUGGGGGCAAGCCUGAUGCAGCGACGCCGCGUGAGGGAUGACAGCCUUCGGGUUGUAAACCUCUUUCAGUAGGGAAGAAGCGAGAGUGACGGUACCUGCAGAAGAAGCGCCGGCUAACUACGUG